CAGUCGCCGCGGUAAUACAGAGGGUGCGAGCGUUAAUCGGAUUUACUGGGCGUAAAGCGUGCGUAGGCGGCUUCUUAAGUCGGAUGUGAAAUCCCUGAGCUUAACUUAGGAAUUGCAUUCGAUACUGGGAAGCUAGAGUAUGGGAGAGGAUGGUAGAAUUCCAGGUGUAGCGGUGAAAUGCGUAGAGAUCUGGAGGAAUACCGAUGGCGAAGGCAGCCAUCUGGCCUAAUACUGACGCUGAGGUACGAAAGCAUGGGGAGCAAACAGGAUUAGAUACCCCAGUAGUCCCUGUCUCUUAUAU
rnacentral:rRNA from 1 species